UAAUUAUAAUAUUCUUUAGUGUCUUAUUUUAUUUCAUUUCCAACAUCUUAAGCACAAACAAUAAUUACAAGGUCUGUGAAAUUAUGAAAAAUAAAAAUGAUUAAAAAAUACACUUAUUGGGUGAGAGUAUAAUAACUAAAUGCCAAUUGCGAAAUAGCAUAUUCAACAAUUGUUUUUUUCUCUCUAUUUUAAGAAUUCAUUCUUCAUUGCGUGGUGUAAAUUUAUUCUCUUGGUCCUGGUACUCAUACCAUAAAUUGAAUGACUUUAUACAGAUGACAUGAACUUUUAAUGCAUCUCCAGUUAUACAUAUUUAACUUACUUAUUGGACAAUCAGCAUCAGUUUUACAUUCAAUAAUAUAUACUGUAGUGAAAAAAGAGGAUAAAAUGAUGUUACUAAAAUGAGAUAAAAUAUAUACAAAUUAAAAAGUAAAGAAGAGAAUUUUAAAAGUGGGUAAAAUGUCUUACAAGCAACGUUCUUUGAAACAAGAAACAAGGAAAUAAAUAAAAUCAUUGCACACACAAAAUUUAAAGUUUU
rnacentral:lncRNA from 1 species